UGUGUACAUAGGUAAAGUUCGUCGCGAAAGUGGCCCUGCGGAUGCGAGCACAGCGCUUUGCCGUACUGAGCCGCAGCAGCCACUCUGACACCUGCCUUACUGGAGAUCGCUCCGUUUCGCGGUACUCCUACCAGUGUCGAUGUGCUUUAUGAGCACUAUCCUGACUAUUCUAAUACUUUUCCACGUCUACACUUAAAUUACUGUACUCCUAUGUACACAGGAAUUUAUUGUAAAAUGGUUUAUGACAUGUCAAAACAUGAUAUAUGUCAAUGCCCUAAUAUUGCACAUCAUGUACGCCCUUUACGGCUUUUUUGAAAAACAGGGCCAGUGUCGCCAACUGUGCCAUUGCUAUAAACCUAUAUAAGACAUUA